rnacentral:rRNA from 1 species
CCUACGGGUGGCAGCAGUAGGGAAUGUUCGGCAAUGGGGGGAACCCUGACCGAGCAACGCCGCGUGAACGAAGAAGUUAUUCGGAAUGUAAAGUUCUUUUAACAGGGAAGAAAGAGAAAUUGGACGGGAGCUGAAGAAUAAGCUCCGGCUAACGACGUGCCAGCAGCCGAGGGAAUACGUAGGGAGCGAGCUUGAUCCGGAAUGAUUGGGCGUAAGGGGUGCGGAGAUGGCAUAGUACGUCUUUUGUAAAACUGCUGGGCUCACCCCAGUAGGGCAGAAGAUACGGCAAAGCUAGAGUAUGACAGAGGCAAGUGGCACUCCAUUUGUAGCGGUUCAAUGCGUACAUAUUUGUCAGAACACCAGUGGCGAAGGCGGCUUGCUGGGUCGAUACUGACAUUGAGGCACGAAAGCGUGGGGAGCAAACAGGAUUAGAUACCCGGGUAGUC